AUGAUGCAAUAUUAUUGGUAAAAAUGCUAUUUCUCUUUGGACUCUGUGUUGAAUCUAACAUCGUAAGAGUGUAAUCAUCAUUUUCAAUCUCAAGCGCGUGUUUGCUUCUCUUUUAUUGAAGCCCGCUGAGUAGCUUAAUUGGGAGACUUGCUCUUGGAUAAAUGUUUUGAAUAAUGAGACAGUCUAGCAGUGCUUCUGCCUAGUAAUACUUUUUUUUUAAUCACAUGUUGGAGUUGGUGCUCUGUCUCUGCACCAUGUUCAUGAGAUACUCCAGGCCUAUAUUCCUUGUUAAAAGCUAUCAGCUGCUGCUUCAGGUCUGGAAUGACCCGUGCAGGAGCACUGCCCAUCUGCAGCCUCCAAGCUUGUUGAUCUCUCUGUAGCUGCAGCUUAGCUUUUGUUCCACUUGCUGCUGAAAGCUGAUUUUUAUCUUAUUUGUGGUUGUUCACUGUGAGCUGAUGUGGUUCCCACUUUGAUUUCUGGUGCAAUGCAUCAGACUCACUGCAACUGGCAAAGAUUUUUGGGGCUCCUGCGGAACAGCUGGGGCCUGAGAAAAAUCUGGUUUGUUUGAGCCCUUUUCCCUUCUUCCACGCAGAAAUAAUCUACUCUGUUGGCUGCUGCUCUAGAUUUCUCUAAAUUGGUACCUGCCUCUUCAGGGCUGAAAAAAAGCAGCUGUAAUCCUUCAGUCCAACCUCCUCAGGCUUCCUCAUUCAGAGCCACUUCUGUAUGCAACAUCAGCUUGAGCCAAAGCAUCCUUUUAAGGAUUUUUGAUCCUAAAUAUGCUGAUCGUGGAUCAUUUCAGCCUGGAGGUGGCAGACAUCUGGCUUUGAUCUAUGACCUUUUAUUGUAGAAGCCUCUAACCAACCACAAGGCCAUAUCCAGCACCCACGAACCUCAGGUGUAAGCUGUGUGCUGAUGCAUUGAAUGGUAAAUCCAUGGUAGAUGCUAUCAGGUGGCUCUCUCCUCCAAUGCCCAUGGCCAGUCAGUACAGGCUUUGCUCUUCUUUGUGUGACAGUGGAGGCCAAAUAAUGGCCCGUUCCAUCUCUUGAUAUUUUGCAGUGUCCAUCUUUCCUUGCCCAUCAUGUACUCCCAGUGAGUACUUUCCCCUCUGUUCUCUCCUUGUCGCUUUUCCUUGUAUCCAUCUGGUUUUCUUUUAUUUUGCUGGAAUCCUGGUAAUGUGUCCAAGUCUGAAGCCUGCAGUUCAUUCCUUCUUCACGAAUGUGUUCUAACUUUACUCUAUAUAACAAAGUUAAAUAUACUGUUUCGAUUGGGUCUCUGUUCUGUAUUUGUGUAACAACUGUUUGUUCAUAUCAAAGCUUGUAUGUGAAGUGGAAGGAAAUGUUAUUCAGAUGUGGGACCAGCUCUGCACUUAAUUCUGUGGAUUAUAUAUUUCAUUAUUUUAUUGAGUUAGACACCAAAAAAGAAGCCCAAACUGAUUUUUCUUUUUCUUCAUCCAGCAAGUCUCUUUGCCAACACAUCUCUGACUCUCACCAAAUCUGAGGCCUGACAAAGCAUAAACCCACCAGGUUUUCAUGGGGCUUGCAUGUGCUUGGACUUUGCCAGUUCUUACAUAGGAAUCUUUUGGCUGUUUGGAUUAAACUUGGAAUAAGUUAAGCAAAUAAAUUAACCUGUAUAUGCCACGCAGAUGAAAUACAUUUUCCACAAGUCCAUUAGGUGAUAGCUAUGGGUCAAAUCAGCAAGAGAUAUUUGCAACCUCAUCUAGGGUCUUUCCAGCCUCUCUCCCUCCUCCAGGCUACCAGAGUUAUCCAUUGAGCUGGGAUGCUGGUGGUUUUGCAAACCCAUGGAUGCUUUGAAUAUUAAGGAUUCCUACUCUUUAUAUUCUUUUGAAAUGAAGAAAGAAAACAAAAGAUUUUCAGAUUUUAGCAUCCCUGUGUCCAUGACAGACAUUGCCAGUGGAGCAUCCUGUGUUCAGUGGCGCUUGGGAUGGAGGUUCAGCUAUUGGCCUCCUGUUAGGUGCAAUGGAGACUCAAGCAUGUUGUUUUCCUCUGUAGCUGGGAAAGAGCUCAUCCUCUCCUCCACCAAACACUGCUGAGGGCCCCACAGCUUACACAGAGAAUCCUCCAUUCAGAUGGAUGUUUUUGCAUGAAAACUUUUGCCAAAAGGAACCCCAAGCCUAUGAACCAUGGCCAUGACCCCUUCUGCUCACCUUUCACUUCCAAGAAGAGCUUGACCGCAUUCACUGCUGCUCAUGUUGUGACUGAGAACUAUUCCUCACCCUCCUCAAGCCCAGCUCCCUUUCAUCUUCUCUUGGGCUGGUUGCUCCAGGCCUUGACGCAGAGCCUUACCAAGGUCUUCGCAUCCGUCUUGAAUUGGGAAUUUAUCUGGAAAGAUCAUCCAGAUGUGACAUCAUGAGUGGUGAGCUAGUAUGUUCAUAAAUUCUAGCCCUGGACAGCGGAUUGUGCAGUGUCUGCAGUGUGAUCUAUUUCAGAUCGGACAAAAAAUCUAAGUGUGAGUGAGUGUAUUUCAAACCCAAAGUUGCAUGUGCAUUUACACAGCUUUAACCUUUUUGGGCAAACUGGAGUUAGACUCCAAGACAAUUUUAGUCAGAAGGGUCAAACUGGUUAAUCUGGUUCUAGGUGAUGGUUUGGAGGAAGAUGAGAUUGACUCUGCUUUUUGCUGUUGCAGGUGAUGCUGUGUGCUAGAAAUGUUCCAUGGAUAUAGCCUUCUUGUCUCCUUUAUAAAAAAAAACAUCGACUGGGGAAUCUUAAGUGUGUUUAGAGUCUGAGAUGAAUGACCCUCAAACUGCUUUCCUUUAGCAACCGCUCUACAAAAAUUCUGGUUUGAAAUCUCUCUGAAAUACUUUGAAGUAGUGCUAGAGCAGGAAGUUAAUUAGGGCUGCUUUGAUAUCUUACAGCAUGUUUUAACAGCUGCUUCAGAGGCUGCUCAGACAGCAAGAGCUAACGUGGUUUAGUGCGUGCUCCUGAAAGUCUGCACUGCCUCCACCAAAAUGUCUCUGUGUGCCACUGCUGAGGCUGGUUGUUUUCUUUUCUGAGAGUUUGCGUGCAUGGGGACUUGGGAAAAUAAAAUAACCAAACCUCGUUGUACUGCUGCUUUUUGUCUUUUUUAAGUAAUAAUAAUAAUAAUAAAGUUAAUGCUGCGGUGCUGCAGCCACGUUAGAAAAUCUCCCUGUUUCUCAUGUCUGUUUUCAGUUGUCAUUUUCUCAAGCUCUCCAACAGGCUAACAUUUUCCAUGGCUUGUUUGCAGUUAAAUGACUUUCUUGGAUAUUUUUAAAAUAAAAUCACAGCAAUGAA